ACAUCGACUGUGGGUACUACGUAUUGAGAUUCAUGAAGGAGAUUGUUGAGAAGAAUAAAACUAUUAUCCCAGAAACGGUACGGUAUUUGCAUUAUAUGAUUUUCAUAUAUAAAUUAUCUAUAUAUUUGAUACUAACUUAAUAUAAUAUGUUCCAUUUUUAUAUUGCAGUACUUUGACAAUUCUAGUCCAUCAUAUUCUGAGGAAGAUCUAAUGGAAUUAAAGGAAGACUGGUGUCAGUAUGUGCUUGACAUGCAAAUUAUUUGAUUUUCUGGGAAAUAGCUUGCUGCUGGGCAAGGGAUCUGAAUAUUAUAUGGUAG
rnacentral:lncRNA from 1 species